UUCUGCCACCGAAUACAUUAGCAUGGGAUAAUGGAAUAGGACCCUGUCCUCCUCUUUUCAGUUGGUUAAUUUACGUGUGAGGAUCAGGGUAAUGAUUAAUAGGGAUAGUUGGGGGCAUUAAUAUUUAAUUGUCAGAGGUGAAAUUCUUGGAUUUAUGAAAGAUUAACUUCUGCGAAAGCAUCUGCCAAGGAUGUUUUCAUUAAUCAAGAACGAAAGUUAGGGGAUCGAAGACGAUCAGAUACCGUCGUAGUCUUAACCAUAAACGAUGCCGACCAGCGAUUAGGAGACGUUGAAUACAAAACACCACUUUAUAUAAUUCAGUAUAUGGUCAGCAAUGGCUGUAUAUUGUUUGUAUAAAGUCCAGGUGAAUGACUCCCCUAGCAGCUUGUGAGA
rnacentral:rRNA from 2 species